GCGAACGCUGGCGGCAGGCUUAACACAUGCAAGUCGAACGGGCGUAGCAAUACGUCAGUGGCAGACGGGUGAGUAACGCGUGGGAACGUACCUUUUGGUUCGGAACAACUCAGGGAAACUUGUGCUAAUACCGGAUAAGCCCUUACGGGGAAAGAUUUAUCGCCGAAAGAUCGGCCCGCGUCUGAUUAGCUAGUUGGUGAGGUAAGAGCUCACCAAGGCGACGAUCAGUAGCUG
rnacentral:rRNA from 1 species